GACAGUGGCGUCAGAGUCUAACUCCCGCCUGCUACAUCCUGAUCCAAAUAAGGGCAAAGAGGCGGAGCCGUGGCGGAGACGAGGCGGGACAGGGCGGGACCUUCUGCCAACGGCCGUCAAGUUCCAGACCUAGCUCAGGCUAAGAAGCUAAGCUAACAUGCUCACAGUAUUAAGCUAACAACCCAGCUUGCGGUCACUGCUCCUCGUUCCCGGCGUUCUGAAGCAUUAAGAAAAAAAGAUGGCAACCUCCUCCACAACCUUGACUGUAUGGAUAAUCGGACAGCUAUGUCCGGCGUGGAGCCCAGAGAGCUACAGAGACCAUCGGCAGCAACCUUGACCUUCGCGCCUGCUGGUUCGGUUGGGGUGGACUGCGCUGGAGAGGUCUCCUCCCCUUCUUUUCCAACUCCCUGCGAGGAAGAGCAGCCCCGGAUGUCCUCCUCAUCCACUGUGGCGGCAACGACUUGGGGGAUGUGCCCAGUGUUCACUUGGUGAAUCAGAUGAAGGAGGACCUGCACCAGCUUCACCAUCGGCACCCUGGCAUGAAGAUCAUGCUCUCCCAGAUCAACCAGAGGUGCCGAUGGAGGGCUGGUGCAAAUCCUGUCAAAAUUGACAAGGCCCGGAAGUUUGUUAACAGUGUUAUGGCUACUUUUGUUCAUAGCCUAAAUGGUGCCAUUGUUGACCACUCCAACAUUAGACAUGACAGUCCUGGGCUUUUUUUGCGAGAUAGAGUUCAUUUCACCCCUAGGGGAAAUGAUAUUUUUUUAAAGUCACUAGCCAAUUGCCUGAAAGACCAUCUCCAAAGACUGUGAACUGCUAAAAUGUCAGUAUCACUGUUUUUGGAUUUGGCCUUUAGAGUAUGUUUUCUAAGGCCCUUGCUAAGCCCAGACUGUCAUGGCUAAUGUUGAGUUAGAUAUUACAUCUGUAGCCAUAACACUGUUAACAUGGCUGCUCUUCCUCUUCCCCACAUCCCACCCCCCCCUCUUCCCCCCAAUGGACUCUGUAGCUCUCCAGGCCCAUGCUGGGCAUGGCUGUCUGUCAAACUUUUUUUUUUAAUUUGUUAUUAUGUUUUUUGUUAUU